UACGGAGGGUGCAAGCGUUAUCCGGAUUUACUGGGUUAAAGGGUGGUGUAGGCGGGCUUUUAAGUCGAGUGGUGAAAUCUCCGGGGCUCAACCUGGAAACUGCCAUUGAUACUAUUAGUCUUGAAUUUUGUUGAGGUAGGCGGAAUAAGUCAUGUAGCGGUGGAAAUGCAUAGAUAUGAACUUAGAACACCAAUUGCGAAGGCAGCUUGCUAAACAAAUAUUGACGCUGAGGCACGAAAGCGUGGGGAUCAAACAGG
rnacentral:rRNA from 1 species